AGUGAACGCUGGCGGUAGGCCUAACACAUGCAAGUCGAACGGCAGCACAGUAAGAGCUUGCUCUUACGGGUGGCGAGUGGCGGACGGGUGAGGAAUACAUCGGAAUCUACUUUUUCGUGGGGGAUAACGUAGGGAAACUUACGCUAAUACCGCAGACGACCUACGGGUGAAAGCAGGGGAUCUUCGGACCUUGCGCGAUUGAAUGAGCCGAUGUCGGAUUAGCUAGUUGGCGGGGUAAAGGCCAACCAAGGCGACGAUCCGUAGCUGGUCUGAGAGGAUGAUCAGCCACACUGGAACUGAGACACGGUCCAGACUCCUACGGGAGGCAGCAGUGGGGAAUAUUGGACAAUGGGCGCAAGCCUGAUCCAGCCAUACCGCGUGGGUGAAGAAGGCCUUCGGGUUGUAAAGCCCUUUUGUUGGGAAAGAAAAGCAGCAGGUUAAUACCCCGCUGUUCUGACGGUACCCAAAGAAUAAGCACCGGCUAACUUCGUG
rnacentral:rRNA from 1 species